AUUGAACGCUGGCGGCAUGCCUAACACAUGCAAGUCGAGCGAGCGGCGGACGGGUGAGUAAUAUGUGGGGACUUCCCUAUAGGGGUGGAUAACUACUGGAAACGCUGGCUAAUUCCGGGUACUAUUGUAUAACCAAUUUGGGAUUAGCUAGUGGGUGAGGUAGUUGCUCACAUAGGCGACGAUCCCUAGCUGGUCUGAGAGGCUGAUCAGCCACACUGGGACUGAGACACGGCCCAGACUCCUACGGAGGCAGCAGUGGGGAAUAUUGCACAAUGGGCGAAAGCCUGAUGCAGCCAUGCCGCGUGUAUGAAGAAGGCCCUAGGGUUGUAAAGUACUUUCAGUAGGGAGGCGUUACCUACACAAGAAGCCCCGGCUAACUCCGUGCCAGCAGCCGCGGUAAUUC
rnacentral:rRNA from 1 species